UCUGGAGCAACUAGGGGUUAAGUGUCUUGCUCAGAGACACAUUGGUUGUAUUGCAGUAGGAUACAUCAAUCAACGCAGGUCUCCCACACCAAAGGCAUGUGUCAUAUCCAAUGCGCCAUCACCACCAAAAACGGUCUCUAAUCCAUUUCAAU